AUUGAACGCUGGCGGAAUGCUUUACACAUGCAAGUCGAACGAUAACUCCUAGAAUGCUAGGAGGAUUAGUGGCGAACGGGUGCGUAAUAUAUAGGAACGUAACCAGUAAUGGGGGAUAACGAGUCGAAAGAUUCGCUAAUACCGCAUACAAACUGAGGGUAAAACAAGGGGAUAGAAAGACCUUGCGUUAUUGAAGCGGCCGAUAUCGGAUUAGAUAGUUGGUGAGGUAAAGGCUAACCCAGGAGACGAUACGUAGCUGGUCUGAGAGGACGACCAGCCACACUGGAACUGAGACACGGUCCAGACUCCUACGGGAGGCAGCAGUGGGGAAUGUUGGACAAUGGGGGCAACCCUGAUUCAGCCAUUCCGCGUGAGUGAAGAAGGCCUUCGGGUUGUAAAGCUCUUUCGCAAGGGAAGAAAACUUACAUUCUAACAAAGUGUGAGGCUGACGGUACCUUGAUAAGAAGCACCGGCUAACUACGUGCCAGCCGCCGCCGUAAUAC
rnacentral:rRNA from 1 species